UGGGGAAUAUUGCACAAUGGGGGAAACCCUGAUGCAGCGACGCCGCGUGAGUGAAGAAGUAUUUCGGUAUGUAAAGCUCUAUCAGCAGGGAAGAUAAUGACAGUACCUGACUAAGAAGCCCCGGCUAACUACGUGCCAGCAGCCGCGGUAAUACGUAGGGGGCAAGCGUUAUCCGGAUUUACUGGGUGUAAAGGGAGCGUAGACGGAAUGGCAAGUCUGAAGUGAAAUACCCGGGCUCAACCUGGGAGCUGCUUUGGAAACUGUUGUUCUAGAGUGUUGGAGAGGUAAGUGGAAUUCCUGGUGUAGCGGUGAAAUGCGUAGAUAUCAGGAAGAACACCGGAGGCGAAGGCGGCUUACUGGACAAUAACUGACGUUGAGGCUCGAAAGCGUGGGGAUCAAACAGGAUUAGAUACCCUGGUAGUCCACGCUGUAAACGAUGAAUACUAGGUGUCGGGGUACAAAGUAUCUCGGUGCCGUCGCUAACGCAAUAAGUAUUCCACCUGGGGAGUACGUUCGCAAGAAUG
rnacentral:rRNA from 1 species